ensembl:lncRNA
GGAGUGUGUAAUUGUUUUUACAUUUAAGGGUUUAUAUUGUCUCCUCAUGCAAUAAAGAAAAACGGUUUUAAUGUCUUGUCCCAGAAGAGCAGGGAAAAUGGGGGAAUUGCUUCCCCAAAGCCCUCGUUGCGGUAUGUGUUCAUCCCGAGAAGCAGGCAGGUAAAGUAUUCAGCAAGAUUUCUCUGUUUGCUUUACAAGGAAUGCUUGGACUGCCUGCUGAAGUGGAGUGCUGCCUCUGGGUGUCUGUCUUUGUAUCUGUGCGUGAAUUCGGCCAACUUUUGUGCAUACAUGUGUGUGUUUGUGUGUGUGUGUGUGUGUGUGUGUGUGUGUGUGUGUGUGUGUGUGUGUUAUAAAAGCUUGUCAGGCAUGUUUGCAACAUCUUAAGUGGUGUGUUUUAAUUGUGUGAUUCUGUAUGUGUGUGUGUUAGUGUGCAUCCAGUAUCCAUGCAUUACUGCGUCUGCAUCUACCACGUCCUCUGAACAGGGGCUGUGUUCUUAAACGCUGAGGUUUUUGGCAUGUGAGUCAAUCUGGGACUGGUCUCCAUCAUGUGACCCUGCAGGCGCAGAUGGCGAGAGGGGCGGCCCUCAGGCACACGUGUCAGAGUCACAUGGGCGCAGGGGUGGAGCCUGGCGACGAGGGGAGUUGGUGAUCAGGUCUGGUUCUCAAUGUUCCCUCUUGUAUUUGUUCUGCUUUUUUUUCCUUUCCUGACAAAGGACUUAGACAAAGAAUGCUAGGACAUAUGGAUGCAAUCAGCUCAAUAUCAAAUGAUGGAGAGUGCAUGUAAAAAUUCUGGCUCCCUUUAAACCAACCAUUCAGCAGGCUUAAUUUAGACAAUACAUAAAACCACAUCUUUGCAUGGGGUUUCUUUGUUGUUGCGUUGUAAGCACUCGUUCUCAACACAGACGUGAACAUAGACUCAGUAUACCUCUCCCUUGAGAUAAGAACAAAAAGAACACACGCUCCAAGCAAGACAAAUGCAAAACAAAUGGAGAAAACCCAGAUGCUCUAGCGCAGGAAAAGCAGAAUAUUUGGGGUGAGGUCUUGUUUAAACAGUGGGCUUGCUGUGGCUUUAUGGCACUUUGACAAGUUUAUUCAUAAUCAUCCCCAUUAACAUGAUGGACUAAUGAGUAGAGAGCUUCCAAGGGGAAGAGGCUAAUUGCUAACACGUUCCAGCACAGUUCUUCACUUCUUAAACCUGCCAAGACACAUCACCGCCAAAGCGACAGCACAAGUGCAGAGAAAACAACAACAUUCAAUUUCCAUUAAAUAUUGGUAGAAAGGUAUCGCCACUAAUGCCAAAAUCCAAAACUCUUCUAAAUAAGUAAACUUCACAUACACUUACACCAACACUCAAACAACAGACACAGAGCCAAUUAUGGGCAUACACUCUCUCACACACUUACACGUAUACACAAGGGGUUAAAACAUGUUUACACAGUUUAAACCAUAAUUCUGUUCCCGUGAAAGAAGAGUAAAAAUGAUGUAUGGCAUUGUUAGACUUGACCUUUGCCUUUUCAAACUCUUCGUCUUCAACUACUGGCAGCUCAGUCUCAGAGGUCGUGGGUUAUUGUUGCCACGGCGAUCAUACCCCCCAAUCAUCUGUACAUGUGAUGCUGGCUCAUGUGAAUCCUUCCCUCACUUUCUCAUCCCAUAAUGGUCAUUUAUGUCAACGGAGGGACAUUAAAAUGCUGCUGAAACAUGAACCCAAUUAGCCAUCACUCUUCUUAAGCAUGUUGAAAGGAAUGAGGUCGUGACAUUGUGAACCCAACAACAACAGCAAAAAACAUUAGGAGUUAAAUUAAGAGCAAAAAUAAUAACUAAACAAACAAAAAAACGGCAGGCGCCCAUCUUGACAGAGACUAUGAGUCAUCAAAAAAGCAGAGCAUGCUGAAUACAGGCAGCAUUCUUUGCUGACAAGGUUGUACCUUCUCAUUGGAAUUUAAAGAUGAGUCUGGGAUUCAGUUUUGCUAAAGGUUGUUGAUGUUUGUGUUCAACAGCCAAUCAAAUUACACCCCUCCCUUCUGUGCUCUUGAAUCACCGUGGCCGAUUGGCUGGGAUUGUUUAUGGUUCAGUCUGUGCAACUAUGUUUGUUUCCCAUUUACAGAGCUAGGACUGUGGACGAAUACCGUCAUAUUUGAGCACCAACACUGAAAGGACAGCUAGAGGACGGUGAGGAGCAAUAAACUGAAUUUGACAUAAAAGUAUAUGGGAUAAGAGUCACGGACUGUAACUUUAAGGGAGAUAGAGCAAUAAUCAAAGAAUCCAUUUCUUACAGAUUGUGAUGGUAUUACACAGUCGCAAUGAAAACAUACAAGGCAUGUUUUAAUGCAAUAAAUUUCGGCAAUCGAUUGAGUCUACAAAGCAACAAGACACAGAGAAAAUAUUGACAGAGGAGAGAACUAAGGAGGGCUACACCACAAAUCCGCAGAGCGUAAAUAAACCUGAGCGUACUAAACAGAGUCCCCUGGAAGUUAAUGGCAGCUUUGUGUGGCCGAGCAGUUUUAUGAUCUUAAUUCUCUCGCAUACUUUGCCAACAUAAAUAUGGCGCUUCUCGGCGGGUAGCUCCGCCGAGUGCAGUUGUGGGGCUGGGCUGGAACUGCAACAAGUUCAAAUACACAACUUUUACUGCGCCUCAGGAGGGGUUUUCUCAGCGUUGCUUUUGCUCUCUACCCUUCGGUUUGGGGAGCGGUCAACAAGAUAGUCUUCGCGUCAGCCCAGGCUGAUUUAUGACUAGGGACAAGCCCAGCACAGAAAAAGAGGAAAUUCUUAAAAGAGAAAAAGACGUCUCCCUACGAACCACUUCCCACCGCUUAAGCUCUACAGGCCUCUGAGGUAAGGAGUGUAGGGCCUCCAUUAAACAUUUCACAGCGCUGGUGGUGUAAUUCACACCAGCAAAGCAGAUGUGUCAACAGCACAGCAUUGUUCCAGCGGUCAGAUAUGCAGAUAUUCGCUCCAACAGGUCUCAGCAGUGGACACCCUAGCCUGAGCCGUUAUACAAUCAUUACUUUUAAUACGCAGCCUACCCUAUGUAGCGGCCGACAUCUGUGCACGUGGUGGAGCAAGACUGGUGUGGCGCCUGUGUUUGGACAUGAGCUAAAGUACAUGGGCUACAGUAUUAAUAACAAUACACAAAUACAUUGGUUAGUGACAGUAUUGUUAGUUAUAUGGUGUAACACAGACCAUGGAAAAUAACAAAUGGGCCAUGAAGAUGAACACUACAGAGAACUGGGAGAUGCGGCCCUUUAGAAUGAUACAGCAGUAUUAGAACAGCCUUUAGAACAAUAAAGCAGCAUAAGAACAGCCUUUAGAACAAUACAGCAGUAUUAGAACAGCCUUUAGAAUGAUACAGCAGUAUUAGAACAGCCUUUAGAACAACACAGCAGUAUUAGAACAGCCUUUAGAACAAUAAAGCAGCAUAAGAACAGCCUUAAGAAUGAUACAGCAGUAUUAGAACAGCCUUUAGAACAACACAGCAGUAUUAGAACAGCCUUUAGAACAAUAAAGCAGCAUAAGAACAGCCUUUAGAAUGAUACAGCAGUAUUAGAACAGCCUUUAGAAUGAUACAGCAGUAUUAGAACAGCCUUUAAAACAACACAGCAGUAUUUGAACAGCCUUUAGAACAAUACAGCAGCAUUAGAACAGCCUUUAGAAUGAUACAGCAGCAUAAGAACAGCCUUUAGAACAAUAAAGCAGCAUAAGAACAGCCUUAAGAAUGAUACAGCAUCAUAAGAACAGCCUUAAGAAUGAUACAGCAGCAUAAGGAACAAUACAGCAGCAUAAGAACAGCCUUUAGAACAAUACAGCAGUAUUAGAACAGCCUUUAGAUGUGAACGAAUAGGUGCUACUAAUUAACAAUGACACAGUGAAUCAUUUCAUACUCUUUUGAAUAGUGAAAAGUAUUUUCUUUCUAAAUAAUAUUAUCUUAACACUACUGCAUUCAGACCUUUUGGCACUUCUGUUAGUAUAGUCAGCGAGUGUUCGAACUGCAGUACACUAACCCAGGGCAGACACUCAGUCAAUUACAGCGCCUCCGUUCCUCAGUCAGGCUUGAUGAAUCAGACUCAACAAAAAAACGUCAUUGCAGAAUCUUCAGUCUCUGCAGCAAUGUUUAUCUUCUUCAGUGCAUGGGGGUAAUGGCUUUGGCAGGAUGGAUAUGGAUGGGUGUGCAGGAGGCCUCAGGUGAAGAGCUGGCCCCAACCCUCUCAAAACAAAGCAGGAAGAAACGCCUCUCUGCCCCCCCACCCCCUCCAUAAACAACGUGAAGAACCGGAGUCAACUUCUGAUAAUGGAAGCACAGUUGUGGAAAGUUUGUGGGGUGAGGGGACCACACUAGCUUACAAGCGAGCGCGAGAGUCAGCCGGUCGGCAUGCAGUGGAGGGGACUGCCAGUGGCCUGGCCUUAUGGAGACGAACGUGUGCAACAUGAAAGAGGGCACACCAACCGGGAGCUUUGAAGUGUCAUCUGUGAAUUUAUUGACCAAGAGGAGAAGAAGAGAGCUGGAGAGAACACAAAGACAAAGAGAG